GAUUACUUAUUCUGACUGGAUGCAGUUUCACAGACUCCAUAGAGAGAGCCACAUUGCUUCUUAACUGUCUUCACCUACUUCUCAGGAGUGGCGGCCCCAGAGAAGGAGUAGGACACAUACACAAUAUCUCAAGACCUUCAAGAUGCUAGAGAAGUCUGAUAAGUGACAGAGAAGACUCAUGUGUGGGAGAAGCUGACUUGGUGUUCAUGCAGAGUCUUUACCCAGCAAAAUGAGGUGCAUUUUGUCUGCUGCAACGGAUCAGCACCUAUAAUCUUCACUUCUGACAUCCACAAUGCAACUUCAGCUCAGAAACUAGAACGGAUUAAAGAAGACAUAGCAGAUGUGCUACAAUGACAGUGAAGCAUCUACGUCUGUGAUUAAAUCAGGA